AUGAGAAAAUAGAAUUCUUCUUAUUCGUUUAUGUUUACACAAUUAUAAACGUUCAACAUUAUUCAUCAUCAUCGUUCAUGUGGUCGUCUUUACCGGAACUAGUUGAUGAAUAGUCUAAACUGAAUAAAUCUGCUUUUCACCAAUGUUCUGUAUCACCAGCGUCUCUAAUUCCAAUCAAUAACAAUGAUGACCAAUAUAAUCCUGGCCCCAAAUAGUUCAUAUACAACACCUGUGGCCACACAUAUAUGUCACUUGGUUUUUUUUUCGACUUUGACUACCUGUUGUUCUGUAUAUGAUAGAAAAAAAAUAUUCAAUCCGAUUCAUUGUCUUGUGACAAGUAUAUGACGACCACCAUCAUUCGAAAAACCCAUUAUCUCUCAAUCACUUCUAUUAUAGAGGGUAUAUGGCCUAAAACCAAAAUAAAAUAAAAAA